rnacentral:lncRNA from 1 species
AUGGUACUCUUCAGACUAGAAGGAGCUUCCAGUUGAAUUCACCAGGGGACAAAAUGAGGACAACAGGUGAACAAGCUUUUUCUACGUUUACAUACCAAGUCAGAUCUGUUCCGGGUAAAUUAGUGUCAAAUGGCCUUUCAUUUCAGCUUUAUGCUGGAAUAAACAGCAUGAGCAAGUUUGUUGGCCUGGGGGUGGAGGGGUGAGGUGGGCGCUAAGCCUUUUUUUAAGAUUUUUCAGGUACCCCUCAAUAAAGGCACCCGAAGGCUUAAAGUAGGACAACCCUGGCGCCUUCCUGUGGCAAGAGAGACAACAAAGCGCUAUUAAACUAAGGUCAAUCUAAGUGGUGUCAGCCUCACAACCCCACCUUCGGUUAGACAUGAGGACUUGCCUCAACUGCCUCUGGGGAGUGAAGCAUCCAAAGGAAUGCCUGCGUACCUUGCGUACCCCCGGCCUGUGUAACGCCUCCCUGGGCUGUUUUUAGAGCAGCCCUUGAUGAAGCCCAGACCUGAGUGGUGCUUGAAGGGGAGGGAAAGGGGGAAAGCGGGCAACCACUUCUCCCUAGCUUUUCCAGAAACCUGUUAAAAAGCAAGGUCUCCCCACAAGUGACUUCUCUGCCACAUCGUCACCCCCUGCCUUUGGCCUAGCGCAGACCCUUCACCCCUCACCUCGAUGCUGUCGGUAGCUUGGAUCCUUGUGGGCAUGAUCCAUAAGCAGUUUAAGACUUUUUCAGGUGAACAUAACAGACUUGGCCAAGCUAGCAUCUUAGCUGAAGCAGAUUCUCCAGUGCUCUUCAGUAGGGUCUUAAAAUUUAAAGGUUUUUCUUUUCCUGAGAAAACAAAAUACUUUGUUUUCUCAGGUUUUGCUUUUUGGCCUUUACCUAGCUUUAAAAAAAAAAGCAAAAGAUGCUGGUGGUUGGCACUCCUGGCUUCCAGGACAGGGUUCAAAUCCCUGCGGCGUCUUUGCUUGACUUUUACUUCUGCCUUUCCGUUUUCCUCCUUUUUCUUCAGAUGAAGUUAGGGGAAGUGGAAGUAGCUUCAAACUAUACUAUACCUCUUGAUUGAAUUUGUCCUAAACUGGUUUGUGUUUGUAUUUUCACAGGAAUCUAGUGUAAUUACUUUGCCCUUUUAAUUUUCAGGUAUCUCUCAUGCAUCUGUUGUUUGGAGCAGUCUCACUAUUUUUAAAAAUAGAUGACAUAUUAAUAAAGGUUGAAAAACUUCAUUGGUGUGAUUCUUU